rnacentral:tRNA from 1 species
GCUCUUGUGACUUAAUGGUUAAGGCAUCAGACUCCUAAUCUGAGGAUUGUGGUCCGCCUCGAGCU